UACGAGGUCGAGCGUACUACGGAUACUGGCGGUAAGCGUGCGCAGGCGGUUUGUUAAGCGAGAUGUGAAAGCCCCCGGGCUCAACCUGGGAAUUGCAUUUCGAACUGGCGAACUAGAGUCUUGUAGAGGGGGGUAGAAUUCCAGGUGUAGCGGUGAAAUGCGUAGAGAUCUGGAGGAAUACCGGUGGCGAAGGCGGCCCCCUGGACAAAGACUGACGCUCAGGCACGAAAGCGUGGGGAGCAAACAGGAUUAGAUACCCGCGUAGU
rnacentral:rRNA from 1 species